GCGACCGUGUGUGCGUGUGUGCGUGUGUGUGUGUGUGUGUGUGUGUGUGUGCUCUCAAGCCCAGCAUCUCUGGUCUCCCCUCUCUGCUGAAACCC
rnacentral:miRNA from 14 species